AGUAGAAUUGUUGGGUUAUAUGGUAUUCAUCUUUUGAGGAAUUGCCAGGCUGUUUUCCAAAGUGGCAGCACCAUUUUACAGUCCCAUCGGCAAU
rnacentral:pre_miRNA from 1 species